rnacentral:rRNA from 1 species
AUGUGAUGUAAUUCCUACAACAAUGAUGCAUCGAAUCCCAUUAGAACAUUGUAGUUAAUCACACUUGGGAUAGAGUAGUAGUGGGAUGGAUGACCUCUGAGGAAGUCCUGUUAUUUAACAUG